rnacentral:lncRNA from 10 species
GUCGCCCUCAACAGGUCUUUGGCCAUCACCCUCCCAGAGCCCAACGGCAGCGCAACGGGGCUCACAGUCUGGCUGCACGGGCUCACCGCUAGUGUGCUCCCAGGGCUGCUGCGGCAGGCCGAUCCCCAGCACGUCAUCGAGUACUCGUUGGCCCUGGUCACCGUGCUGAACGAGCCCCCGCCCAGGAGGGCCCAUGUGCUUACCCUGUUUUGCCCAUGAAGAAACAGCUCAGUGUUGUGGGUCAGUGCCCGCAUCACACAGCGUCUAGCACGUAACUGCACCCCGGGAGUCGUGGGCAUCUGCUGGCCUCCUGCCGGCCUCCUGCGCUGCUGACAGCUUGCUGUGCCCCCUGCCUGCCCCAGUACGAGCGGGCCCUGGACGUGGCGGCAGAGCCCAAGCACGAGCGGCAGCACCGAGCCCAGAUACGCAAGAACAUCACGGAGACUCUGGUGUCCCUGAGGGUCCACACUGUGGAUGACA